rnacentral:snRNA from 1 species
GCUAUUUGCUUGUGAGCUAAUGACAUAUGCAAGAUUAUAGAGAAAAUUAGCAUUACCCCUGCACAAGGAUGACAUGAUUGUAAAGUGUUUCUGUAGUUUU